GCAUAUACCAAGGGGAGUCCCGUCAAAGGGGCUGAGAUACCGCUGGCACGCCGCUCUGGCGUGGAUGCGGGGACCCUGCCGGGUGCAUGAUGCAUCCGGGGAACCUGAUCCGGUUCAUACCGGCGGAGGGACUGGUGUGACAUCGGAAA
rnacentral:ncRNA from 1 species